CUCUCCCCCUUCAUCAGAGUACAACGGCGCUCUCUAACUUUAUAGAAAAUGAGAGAACGCAUCCCCUAUUCCUUCAUAGAAGAACGAACACCACCCCAUCUUCUUCUCAAUUUCCUCCUCUUCUUAUCUCACUCACACGCCUAAAGACCUCAAUAGUAACUAAAAAUAUAGAACUAAGAUUUCCAAAGGGUAAAAAAUCCAGAAAAUUCGAAAGGCUGGAAAAUAUCAGAAUUUACUCUUUCAUUAAGUUUUUGCUUUGAGCUUUAAGGUUUUUGACCUAUUGAAAUCAUUUUCUGAUUCUUGUGGGGUUUCAAAUGGAUUGAAUUUUUUUUUUCAAACGUGGUUUUGAAAGUUUGAUUUGGUGGUACAUUUGGGGUUUCAAGCUUGGAAUUGGGUUUGGAUCCUGAGUUCCUGCUGUUGAUUUUCCACUACUGCUGCUGACUUUUCCCUCUUCUUACUUUCCUUACUCUCCAGGUAUUUAUUCUCGAAUCUAUAGAUGUAUUCCUCCGUUUGAAGCUGAAAUAAGAGCUGAAGCAUGAAAAUUCUUUCUGUUCCUUUUUUUUCUUUAUUUUUUCUUUACUAUUAGCCUUUGGUCUAAAUUAUCUUUUCAUAUACGGUUUGUAAUUGUGAGUAGAAAAAGUAAGAAUUCAUAGGUAAGAUUUUCAUGCAUCUCCAUACUUUGAUUAAUAUUCUAUAUAUUAGACUCCAUAUUCUUGGCUCAUUAUUGUCUCGUGCUUUAGCCUCAGGUGUUCAUGGUUAACUCUAAAAGCUGUACAUGAGAUUUGUAUUAGUUGCACUGAUUAAAUUUUGCAUCAACCAUUUUGGUUAGAAUAUGUGGUAUUUUAAUUUUUUGAUUAACAAUUUGUCUAAUCGAAUUAGUAGUCAAGUUUGUAUGCAGUCCUAUUAUUCUAUUAUUUGGUCUAUUUGAUGAAUUGGUUAUUAUACUAAUUGGAAUGUGAUAAGUCGAAUUUCCAGGAAUCUCUUUUGGCUGCAGAGGCUCGGUCUUGAGUCUCAUCCUGGGCUUUAAUGUCAUUUCAAAUUCAGCGGCCCAAAAUCAACUACUGAAUAUGGCACUAAUUUGGUUUGUAUUUUGCAUCCAGGGCAGAAAUGAAGGAAGGCUUGUAACUACAGCCUCCUUGGGCCUGUGAAUUGGGCACGUUUGUACCUCCUUAACUUUGAAACGGAUCCCCCCAUAAGUAGUUGGGUCUGCCUUAAUUCAGGGACAAUAGUUUAAAUGCCUUUGGUAUUUAGUUAAUUAGCAAGACCUUUAGAAUAAUUUUGGAGGGCCAUCUUAGAUAACACAAUAGCUCAUGGCCUUUCAAACUUUUUGUCUAAUAUCCUUUAAAAAAAUGAAGUCGAGGUGCACCACGCCAAAUAAAACCACAAAUGUGCGACCCUCUUUAUUUUUGUUUUCUUUAAAAAUUAGUUAGAAUUCGGUAUGUGCCAUUUACUAAAUUUUCAUGGCCUCCUGUAAAGUUAACUAUGCAUUAGUUGCUUUAGCCGUGUCUAUUAAUAACAUUACCUUCUUAAACCCGAGUGGGCAUUUCGUGUGACCCAAAUCCAAAUCAUAAAACGUUGAAUAAAAUGAGUUUCAAAUUGCGGGUGCAUUUCAUGUGACGCGAUCCAAAGACACAUUUUAAAUGACGUUCAAUCUUCCUUAAAAACUAAUCAAAAGUGUUAAAUAGAUUAAAAUUGUAUUAUAGGUUGAAACAUGUAUUAAAAUUAGAUAAUAGGCCAAUUAUGGUAGUUUAAGUGACCGUGCUAGAACCACGAGAUCUGGAGGUGCUGGCACCUUUCCCCGGAUCAACAAAAUUCCUUAGUCAGAAUCUCUGAUUCACAAACUUCACUUGGAAAGUCAAAAAUUUCCUGGAUUUGGGAUUCAAAAUAAACCGGUGACUUGGGCCACUAAAAGCCCAACCUAUCCCAAGUGGUGAAUCUGAUCAUUAAAUAAUCUCAUUUUGAAUAAUAUCACUUGAAAUGGAAAAAUUCCCUUAUAUGUCCUUCGGGAUGUAAAAAGGAGGUGUGACAACUCUGGCGACUCUGGUGGGGAUCCAAACUCAGAACUUCGGUUCAGGGUUUAAGAAUUCGAGCUUAGAUAGCUGUUAUGAUUGGCUUUACCUGUUAUCUGAUUUCCUAUAUAUUUGAGCCUAAUAUGCUAAAUGUUUUACAGCUUUGAUAUUUUGUGAAUUGUCUAUAAACUGCUACGAAACCCUUCAUUUCUCUGAGUUUUCUUAAUCAUCAUGGAGAAGGGUGCACUUCAUAUGACUUCUCUUAUGUUUAGAGUCUUAUCCCAUUUAGAAUGAGGUUUGGACAAGUUACAAAGACGGUGAAGCUUCUGUAUUCCCGGUACGCUGCGUCCUCUCGGCUCGAGUUGUCCGUUCGGGUAAGCCAGAUCUAGAACAAUAAACCCAGGUUUUAAACCUAGUAUAACAAAGCCUCAUGCCGGAUUCCUAGUAGGAACACUUGUUUGCAUCACGUGCAUUUGCAUUAGUAUACUCAACACCAGGGUUGGGUCUGUCUAGGACAUGUAUACACGAAAUGAAAAGACCACCCCGAUACAUCUUACGUGCUACUUGCAUAUCUAUCUGUUCAAGCCUGCAUGUUGACUGGCUUCUAGAAUAGAGGACGAAAAUUAAAAAAAAGAGUGAGAGGUAGGUAUUUAGAAUAUUCUGAAACUCUGCCGAAAUUCGGGAAAAAAAUGAAAAAAAGAAAGAAAAGUUAUGUCAAAAUUUCAAGUGCCAUAUUUUCCAUGUUCCGUCAAAUAUGAUCGAACUACACGGGGUCUGAUUCUCACCAGUUGUGAGAUAUGUAGGCAAACCUCAUUGUUUCCGACCCUAAUUUUCAAAAAUCCAAAAAAUAUUUUCCUUUAGUUACUUCUUUAAAAAAGUUUCCUUAGAUAAUUCAAAAAAAAGUAGUUUUUAAACUCAAAAAAUAGUUUCCUUCUUUUUGAUGUCUUUCAUACGAGAAAAGAAAAG
rnacentral:lncRNA from 1 species